AAUCAACGCUGGCGGCGUGCCUAACACAUGCAAGUCGAACGAGAAAGUGGAGCAAUCCAUGAGUACAGUGGCGUACGGGUGAGUAACACGUGACUAACCUACCCUCGAGUGGGGAAUAACCUCGGGAAACCGGGGCUAAUACCGCAUAACAUCUUCGGAUCAAGUGCGUAAGCAGCUUGAGGAGGGGGUCGCGGCCGAUUAGCUAGUUGGUGAGGUAAUGGCUCACCAAGGCAAUGAUCGGUAGCCGGCCUGAGAGGGCGCACGGCCACACUGGAACUGAAACAACGGUCCAGACUCCUACGGGAGGCAGCAGUGGGGAAGUUUUGUCGCAAUGGGCUAACGCCUGACGCAGCAACGCCGCGUGGAGGAUGAAGGUCUUUGGAUUNUAAACUCCUGUCAGCAGGGAAAAAGACAAAUCGGCCUAACACGCCGGUGAGUUGAUUGUACCUGCAGAGGAACGCCCCGGCUAACUCUGUGCCAGCCGCCGCGG
rnacentral:rRNA from 1 species